rnacentral:rRNA from 1 species
AGAGUUUGAUCCUGGCUCAGGACGAACGCUGGCGGCGUGCCUAAUACAUGCAAGUCGAGCGGACAGAUGGGAGCUUGCUCCCUGAUGUUAGCGGCGGACGGGUGAGUAACACGUGGGUAACCUGCCUGUAAGACUGGGAUCACUCCGGGAAACCGGGGCUAAUACCGGAUGCUUGUUUGAACCGCAUGGUUCAAAUAUAAAAGGUGGCUUUUAGCUACCACUUACAGAUGGACCCGCGGUGCAUUAGCUAGUUGGUGAGGUAACGGCUCACCAAGGCAACGAUGCGUAGCCGACCUGAGAGGGUGAUCGGCCACACUGGGACUGAGACACGGCCCAGACUCCUACGGGAGGCAGCAGUAGGGAAUCUUCCGCAAUGGACGAAAGUCUGACGGAGCAACGCCGCGUGAGUGAUGAAGGUUUUCGGAUCGUAAAACUC